rnacentral:lncRNA from 1 species
GAAGUUUAUUUACUUCUCUGCUUUGUGUGGCUGAGGAAGCUGAAGGGUAUAUUGUUCAGUGAGCUUCAGAGAAGCUGCAGCAGGAUGGAUCUGAUGCUCCUCUGGCUGAUUGUGGCCUACUGCUGUAUUCCAUCACUUCUGGCCAUAAAAGAUGAACCUAUACUCUCCCAGAGUCCACCAGCCAUCGUCCUGAACCAGCUCAACUCCACAGCUGAGCUGCACUGCUCCACCACACACGAAAAAGUCGUCGCCCUGUAUCUGAAACAGCGCUACUCCAGCAAGCGAGAAGUGUUGUAUCUGUAUUUCAAACAUUCAACUACAACAAUCCACCCUGACUACAAACAGCGCGUAUCAGUGAAAGGAAAGUGCUGUGAGUUUGCCAUCGUACUGACUGAGCUGCAGAUCGGAGACUCUGAUGGAUACUACUGUGAAUGGGUGCUAACAGAGCCCAGAAUCAACCAAGUGCAAUCCACUGAGACACUCAUCAUAAUAAGAGAUGGAGACCCAGAAGAAGAAUGCAACAAACAACGCACGAUUCAUCACGUUCUCUUCAUGAUCAGCGUGGCCAUAACUGUCACAAUGUUCAUUAUAUGCGCUGGUCUGCUGAUAUGGAGAAUCCAGCAGGUAAAACAGUCAAAUAAGCGCUAUACGCCUUAUAAAGUGCAUCAAAGGAGUCACCUACCCCACUGUCCCAACAGCAGAAGAUAACAGCAGAAGAUAACAGCAGAACAUAACAGCAGAACAUAACAGCAGCUUGAAUGUCAUAUUCUUUUGAAAUGAUCAAAUUUUACCAGUGUUAUGCAAUAUGCAGUGUUAUUCCAAAAGUUUUAAACGGGGGCAAUUUGAGGCUCAUAAUGAGGUAAAAGAAAAGAAAUCUAACAAAUAAAGAUAUGAUUUUAAACA